rnacentral:rRNA from 1 species
UAGGCAGCGAGCGUUGUUCGGAAUUACUGGGCGUAAAGAGUGUGUAGGCGGUGUUUUAAGUUUGGUGUGAAAUCUCCUGGCUCAACUGGGAGGGUGCGCCGGAAACUGGAGUGCUUGAGCGUGGGAGAGGAAAGCGGAAUUCCUGGUGUAGCGGUGAAAUGCGUAGAUAUCAGGAGGAACACCUGUGGUGUAGACGGCUUUCUGGACCAUAGCUGACGCUGAGACACGAGAGCGUGGGUAGCAAACAGG